rnacentral:rRNA from 1 species
UUGCUGGGGGGAUUAGUGGCGAACGGUUGAGUAACACGUGAGUAACCUGCCCUUGACUCUGGGAUAAGCACUGGAAACGGUGUCUAAUACCGGAUACGACCUUCCGCCGCAUGGUGAGGGGGUGGAAAGAAUUUCGGUCAAGGAUGGACUCGCGGCCUAUCAGCUAGUUGGUGAGGUAAUGGCUCACCAAGGCGACGACGGGUAGCCGGCCUGAGAGGGUGACCGGCCACACUGGGACUGAGACACGGCCCAGACUCCUACGGGAGGCAGCAGUGGGGAAUAUUGCACAAUGGGCGAAAGCCUGAUGCAGCAACGCCGCGUGAGGGACGAAGGCCUUCGGGUUGUAAACCUCUUUUAGUAGGGAAGAAGCGAAAGUGACGGUACCUGCAGAAAAAGCACCGGCUAACUACGUGCCAGCAGCCGCGGUAAUACGUAGGGUGCAAGCGUUGUCCGGAAUUAUUGGGCGUAAAGAGCUCGUAGGCGGUUUGUCGCGUCUGCUGUGAAAUCUGGAGGCUCAACCUCCAGCCUGCAGUGGGUACGGGCAGACUAGAGUGCGGUAGGGGAGAUUGGAAUUCCUGGUGUAGCGGUGGAAUGCGCAGAUAUCAGGAGGAACACCGAUGGCGAAG